GGAGAGGUGCCGGAGUGGUCGAUCGGGGCGGUCUCGAAAACCGUUGUGCGGGCAACCGUACCGUGGGUUCGAAUCCCACCCUCUCCGCCA
rnacentral:tRNA from 7 species